UACGAAGGGGGCUAGCGUUGCUCGGAAUUACUGGGCGUAAAGGGCGCGUAGGCGGAUGUUUAAGUCGGGGGUGAAAGCCCAGGGCUCAACCCUGGAAUUGCCUUCGAUACUGGACAUCUUGAGUGCGGGAGAGGUGAGUGGAACUCCGAGUGUAGAGGUGAAAUUCGUAGAUAUUCGGAAGAACACCAGUGGCGAAGGCGACUCACUGGCCCGUUACUGACGCUGAUGCGCGAAAGCGUGGGGAGCAAAC
rnacentral:rRNA from 1 species